rnacentral:lncRNA from 1 species
CUCUCUUGAUUCUUGUUCGGUGUGUCUGGCCACAGACGUGAACUUUGACCACAGGCCUUAUGUUGUUACCACUUAACUGUCGGCCCUCAAUCACUCGGACGCGGAUCUGCAGCACAGAAGGGGGAUGGUUACCCAACCUUUCCCAGCACGUGGGAUCCUUAGGAUCCUCAGGUGUUGCUUCAUUUCCUUCACCUAUUAGGAUUGCUAACACCAGGCCAGGGCAGCUUUGUGCUAUACCAGGUGCUACCAAUUGGGUGGAGCCACCUAGGGUCAUUCCCAAGAUGGGAACUGGGGUUGGGUUAUAGAGACCAAGAGCAGCUGUAGGGAUGAAAUCAUUCAAAGCCGGCCUGGGAAAGGGCAGGGCAGGUGGAGGUCACUGCUCAGACUCCAG